rnacentral:rRNA from 1 species
UACGGAGGGUGCGAGCGUUAAUCGGAAUUACUGGGCGUAAAGGGUGCGUAGGUGGUUUAGUAAGUUAUCUGUGAAAUUCCUGGGCUCAACCUAGGGUGGUCAGAUAAGACUGCUGGACUUUGAGUAUAGGAGAGGGUAGUGGAAUUUCCGGUGUAGCGGUGAAAUGCGUAGAGAUCGGAAGGAACACCAGUGGCGAAGGCGGCUACCUGGCCUAAUACUGACACUGAGGCACGAAAGCGUGGGGAGCAAACAGG